rnacentral:rRNA from 1 species
GUCGAGCGGGACUUCGGGUCUAGCGGCGGACGGGUUAGUAACGCGUGGGAACGUGCCCAAAGGUACGGAAUAGCCUCGGGAAACUGAGAGUAAUACCGUAUGUGCCCCUCGGGGGAAAGAUUUAUCGCCUUUGGAUCGGCCCGCGUUGGAUUAGGUAGUUGGUGGGGUAAUGGCCUACCAAGCCGACGAUCCAUAGCUGGUUUGAGAGGAUGAUCAGCAACACUGGGACUGAGACACGGCCCAGACUCCUACGGGAGGCAGCAGUGGGGAAUCUUAGACAAUGGGGGAAACCCUGAUCUAGCCAUGCCGCGUGAGCGAUGAAGGCCUUAGGGUUGUAAAGCUCUUUCAGAUGGGAAGAUAAUGACGGUACCAUCAGAAGAAGCCCCGGCUA